UAUACCGGAGAAUGUCAAUACCUCCCACACAUAAAUUAUCCGUCCCACAGAUUAAAAACUGCACAUGAAUAAGAAAGAUUUAUGAACUUCUA